GCCGUUCGCUAGGGGAGCUUUAUGCUGAGAGGAAGGACAUCCUUCGACCCUUGGAACCUGAACUGGGUAAUACCAGCGAAGGGAAGCGAAAGUAGUGCUCC
rnacentral:ncRNA from 1 species